rnacentral:rRNA from 1 species
UACGUAGGGUGCGAGCGUUAAUCGGAAUUACUGGGCGUAAAGCGUGCGCAGGCGGUUCGUUAAGUCAGAUGUGAAAGCCCCGGGCUCAACCUGGGAACUGCAUUUGAAACUGGCGGGCUUGAGUGCGGCAGAGGGGGGUGGAAUUCCACGUGUAGCAGUGAAAUGCGUAGAGAUGUGGAGGAACACCGAUGGCGAAGGCAGCCCCCUGGGCUGAGAUUGACGCUCAGGCACGAAAGCGUGGGGAGCAAACAGG